rnacentral:rRNA from 1 species
UACAGAGGGUGCAAGCGUUGUUCGGAAUUAUUGGGCGUAAAGCGCGUGUAGGCGGCUUUGCAAGUCGGGUGUGAAAGCCCUCAGCUCAACUGAGGAAGUGCGCCCGAAACUGCAGAGCUUGAGUGCCGGAGAGGGUGGCGGAAUUCCCCAAGUAGAGGUGAAAUUCGUAGAUAUGGGGAGGAACACCGGGUGGCGAAGGCGGCCACCUGGACGGUAACUGACGCUGGAGACGCGAAAGCGUGGGAGCAAACAGGAUAGAAACCCCAGU